UAUUCUGUGGCUUAGCUGAUUAUAGUGCCGGUCUAGCGAAUACGGAGUCGUGGGUUCAAAUCCCACCAGAAUGC
rnacentral:tRNA from 1 species